GAUGAACGCUGGCGGCGUGCUUAACACAUGCAAGUCGAACGGGAAACCUUUUAUUGAAGCUUCGGCAGAUUUAGCUGGUUUCUAGUGGCGGACGGGUGAGUAACGCGUGGGUAACCUGCCUUAUACAGGGGGAUAACAGUCAGAAAUGGCUGCUAAUACCGCAUAAGCGCACAGAGCUGCAUGGCUCAGUGUGAAAAACUCCGGUGGUAUAAGAUGGACCCGCGUUGGAUUAGCUGGUUGGUGGGGUAACGGCCCACCAAGGCGACGAUCCAUAGCCGGCCUGAGAGGGUGAACGGCCACAUUGGGACUGAGACACGGCCCAGACUCCUACGGGAAGCAGCAGUGGGGAAUAUUGCACAAUGGGGGGAACCCUGAUGCAGCGACGCCGCGUGAAGGAAGAAGUAUCUCGGUAUGUAAACUUCUAUCAGCAGGGAAGAUAAUGACGGUACCUGACUAAGAAGCCCCGGCUAACUACGUG
rnacentral:rRNA from 1 species